rnacentral:rRNA from 1 species
CCUACGGGCGGCAGCAGUGAGGAAUAUUGGUCAAUGGACGAGAGUCUGAACCAGCCAAGUAGCGUGAAGGAUGACUGCCCUAUGGGUUGUAAACUUCUUUUAUAUGGGAAUAAAAUGUUCCACGUGUGGGAUUUUGUAUGUACCAUAUGAAUAAGGAUCGGCUAACUCCGUGCCAGCAGCCGCGGUAAUACGGAGGAUCCGAGCGUUAUCCGGAUUUAUUGGGUUUAAAGGGAGCGUAGGUGGAUUGUUAAGUCAGUUGUGAAAGGUUGCGGCGCAACCGUAAAAUUGCAGUUGACACUGGCAGUCUUGAGUACAGUAGAGGUGGGCGGAAUUCGUGGUGUAGCGGUGAAAUGCUUAGAUAUCACGAAGAACUCCGAUUGCGAAGGCAGCUCACUGGACUGCAACUGACACUGAGGCUCGAAAGUGUGGGUAUCAAACAGGAUUAGAUACCCCAGUAGUC